rnacentral:piRNA from 1 species
UAUCAAGCUUUGCUGUGAAUUUGGUGU